ACUUCAAAUACCCCCUAUGGUUUCACACUUUCUUACUUUAGUAUUUUAUGGUUUAAAGUGUAUCAUAUUAGCCCCUAUGGUUCCGUACUUUCUCACUUUAGUAUCAUAUAGUUUAAAGUGUAUAAAGCUAGUACCCUGUGGUUUUAUUUUUCUCUUUUUAUUAUCUAUUUUACUAAUUUUUCUCGUUAAAUCAAUGGCAAAGUUAAAACUAAAAGGUACUAAAGUGAAUAUUCGAUAAACCUAAGUAAGAUAUCUAAAGUUUUUUGUAUAUAAUUUAACAAAAUAUUAACGGAAGAAAAAAAAAAUCAGUGAUAAAGUUAAAAUGAAAGGACACUAAAGUAAAUAUUUGAUAAAUGUAGAUAGGAUAUCUAAAGUUUUUUGUAUAUAAUUUAAUGAAAUAUUAAGAGAGGAGCCGACGAAAAAAAAAAAAAAGAAACCAUAGAGUAGUAAAUUGAUGCACUUUAAAUCACAUGGUACUAAAGUGAGUAAGUGCGAAACCACAAGAUACUAAAUUGAUACACUUUAAACCACAGAAUACCAAAAUAAAAAAGUGUGAAACCCAAGUUGUAAAGAGCUUGGUGGUUGGUACCCGAGACCCAAGUUCGAAUCCUAGUUGAUUCACAUUUCUAGCUAAGUUUAUUUCUAAAUGAAAUAAACGAAUCAGAUAGCGUGCUACCUAUCUCUCAAAAAAAAGUGUGAAACCAUAUGGAUGGUAUUUAAAGUUUUUUCUAAAAAUAAAGAUGCAAG
rnacentral:lncRNA from 1 species